UACGGAGGAUCCAAGCGUUAUCCGGAUUUAUUGGGUUUAAAGGGUGCGUAGGCGGCUUAUUAAGUCAGUGGUGAAAGCCUGCAGCUUAACUGCAGAAUUGCCAUUGAUACUGAUGAGCUUGAAUAUACUUGAGGUGGGCGGAAUGUGUCAUGUAGCGGUGAAAUGCUUAGAUAUGACACAGAACACCGAUUGCGAAGGCAGCUCGCUAAAGUAUGAUUGACGCUGAGGCACGAAAGCGUGGGGAGCAAACAGG
rnacentral:rRNA from 1 species